CCUCGACAUAUUUUCCGUAUGCAAAGUGACCUCAGUGUGACCCAUCUCGUAAAAAUCCGGUGAUCACAAUACGCAUGGAUGUCCUUAAAAUAGACUAUUAUCUGAAUUUAUAUGUUAAACACGUGCUCAAUUUCCAUGCUUUUUUGUUGAUUUUUUGUCGAUUGUUGACAAACAGGUGACAAUCGUUAAACUUCGGCUUCAAAACACGAACUUUAAUUACCUGCCAUAUUUUGACAACAACACUGACCGAUUGAAAAAAAAAUUGACGAUUAUACGAAAUUUACAC
rnacentral:lncRNA from 1 species